rnacentral:rRNA from 1 species
UAAAUGAAUCUCAGCAAUAGAUAUCUCGGCUCUCGCAUCAUUGAAGAAUGUAGCGAAAUGCUAUACUUGGUGUGAAUUGCAAAAUCCCAUGAACCAUCGAGUGUUUGAAGGCAAGUCGCGGCUGAAGCCGUCCAGUCUAGGGCACAUCUACUUGGGCAUUAGGU